rnacentral:tRNA from 1 species
AGCCCUCGAAGUAUAACAGAUUACACUAGGCUUGUAAACCAGAAAUGUAAUACGCAUUUCCAACCGCA